CCCGCUCCCCCGGCCAUGGCUCAGACGGAGCCCCCGAAGGCGGUGCGGCUGUGGCGCGACGCCGCCCUGCGCGCACGGAAGCUGCGGGGCGGCCCCGGCGAGCCCGAGCCCGAGCCCGAGCCUGAGCCGGACGCGGGGCCGCCGGGGGGGCCGCCGCCGCCGUCCCCCGGUGCCGCCGCUCCUCGUCUCCCGUCCCUGGCGGCUGCGGCGCUGGGGGAGCUGGAGGCGCUGAACCUGAGCGGGCGGGGGCUGGAGGAGCUGCCCGAGGAGGUGGGUGCCGCCCUGAGCGGGCUGCGGGUGCUCAGCCUGCGGCGCAACCGGCUGGGCCGCCUGCCCGCCGCCGCCCUGCGCCACCUGGGCCGCCUGGCCGAGCUCGACCUCAGCCAUAACCGGCUGCGGGGCCUGGGGGACGGCGGGGCGCUGGCGGGGCUGCGGGGCCUGCGCAAGCUCAGCCUCAGUCACAACGAACUGGGAGCCGAGGGCCCGGGGCUGACCCCCCGCCUCGCCGAGCUGGGCUGCCUCGAGGAGCUCGACCUCAGCUUCAACCGCCUGCGCCGCCUGCCCGAGGGCCUGGGCCGCCUGCGGCACCUCCGCACCCUCGACGUCGACCACAACCUGCUGCCCUCCUUCCCUGCCCCGCUGCUGGAGCUGGCUGCCCUGGAGGAGCUCGACUGUUCCGGCAACCGCCACCUCGGGGCCCUGCCCGAGGGCAUCGCUGCCCUCCGCCGCCUCAAGAUCCUGUGGCUCAGCGGCACCGGGCUGGCGUCCCUUCCCGAGGGUCUCUGCCAGCUGAGUGCCCUUGAGAGCCUUAUGUUGGACGGCAACCGGCUGCAGGCGCUGCCCGCUGGCUUCGGCAGACUACAGCGGCUUAAGAUGCUGAACCUUUCAUCCAACCUGCUGGGGGAGUUCCCCUCUGCCAUCUUAGCACUGCCCAGUCUGGAGGAGCUCUACCUGAGCCGCAACCAGCUCACCGUGCUGCCCCCUCACCUCUGUCAGCUCCACCAGCUCCGCACUCUCUGGCUGGACAACAACCGCAUCCGCUACCUGCCUGACUCCAUCGUGCUCCUCCACAGCUUAGAGGAGCUGGUCCUGCAAGGCAACCAGAUCGCCAUCCUGCCUGAGGGCUUUGGGCAGCUUUCCCGUGUCACCCUGUGGAAGAUCAAAGACAAUCCCCUCAUCCAGCCCCCCUAUGAGGUGUGCAUGAAAGGCAUCCCCUACAUUGCAGCUUACCAGCAGGAGCUGGCCCACUCCCAGCCUGCCCUGAAACCCCGCCUCAAACUAGUCCUCAUGGGCCUAAAGGAUGCAGGAAAGACUCUGCUGAGACGGUGCCUCAUGGAGGAAAAUGAGCAGAGAGAGGACAUGGAAAGCCUGGAGGCAGGGAACACCCAGCACAGAGGGUUUCCUGGGCAACAGCAGGACAUUGGGAGGGUGGCAGUUGGGUGUUGCCCCUUUCCAGAGCCUCAAGACAAUUCCUCAACUCGGGUACCUGUCAGGCAGCAGGUGGAACGUCUCCCUGUUGAGCGGCAGGACAUCCCUUCUCGUGUGCCCUCUCACCAAGCAAAAGGGGACACAACAUCCCCUGCACCGUCACUGCCGCCCCGUGUGCCCCGAGUACCACUGGGACUAGGACUGUCAGGAGGCAGUAGGGGCAUCGAGGUGAUGGACUGGACAGCAGAUGCAGAGAGGGGCCUGACAUUCAUUGUGUAUGAGCUGGCGGGGGACCCGAGCUAUGAUGUGAUCCAGUCUUUCUUCCUCUCCCCUGGAGCCUUGUACGUGCUGGUGGUGAAUUUGAGUGCCUACGUCCCUCAGCACUUCUACCCUUCUGUGGGCUAUUUCUUACACUGGCUCAGUUCCAAGGUGCCCCAUGCCGUAGUGUGCAUGGUGGGAACCCAUGCCGACCUCUGUGCAGAGCGGGAGUUGGAAGAGAAGUGCCUGGACAUCCAUCACCAGAUCGCUCAGCAGGAGAAGAGGGAUGCUGAGGGACUCCAGAGCUUAGUCCAGCAGGUGGAUGAGGCUCUGGGACAGGACUUUGACCUGCGCUGCUCCAGCCCGCAUGCUGCCUUUUACGGGGUCUCAGACAAAAACUUGCGGCGAAAGAAAGCCCAGUUUCAGUAUCUUCUCAACCACCGCCCACAGAUCCUGUCUCCAGUGCUGCCUUUCAGCUGCCAGGACCGUUGCCAGGUGCGGCGUCUGCGGGACAAGCUUCUCUCGGUGGCCGAGCACCGGGAUAUCUUCCCAAACCUGCACCGGGUGUUGCCCAAGUCCUGGCAGGUGCUGGAGGAGCUGCACUUCCAGCCUCAAGCUCAGCAGUUGUGGCUUAGCUGGUGGGACUCUGCCCGGCUGGGCUUGCAGGCAGGCCUGACGGAGGACCGGCUGCAGAGUGCCCUAUCCUACCUGCACGAGAGUGGAAAGCUGCUCUACUUUGAGGAGCAUCUGACCUUGCGGGAGUAUGUGUUCCACAACCUGCCGCGGCUCAUAGACAUCCUCAAUGUCUUUUGCCAGCGGGAUGCCACCGUGUUGCUCCAGAAACUGCUCAGCGACAGCCAGAUUGACGAACUGAGGACCGCUCAGCUCCAUCAUUACGUGGAGGGCUUCUUGCUGCAUGGCCUUCUUCCUGCCCACGUUAUCCGUCUCCUUCUUAAGCCACACGUCCAGAGUCGGGAGGAUCUGCAGCUCAUUCUGGAGCUGCUGGAGAAGAUGGGGCUAUGUUACUGUGUCAACAAACCCAAAUGCAAGCCCUUAAAUGGGGCGGCUGCUUGGUACAAGUUUCCCUGCUAUGUGAAAAACGAAGUGCCCCAUGCGGAGGCAUGGAUCAACGGCACCAAUCUGAGCGGACAGUCCUUCGUGGUCGAGCAGCUGCAGAUUGAGUAUAGCUUUCCAUUCAUUUUCCCACCCGGCUUAUUUGCACGCUACAGUGUCCAGAUUAACAGCCACGUGGUUCAGCGGUCGGAUGGCAAAUACCAGAUUUAUGCCUACCGGGGAAAGGUGCCUGUGGUGGUGAGUUAUCGGCCUGCCAAGGGAGCUCUGCAGCCAGACACUCUGUCUAUCGCUAGUCAUGCGUCCCUACCAAAUAUCUGGACAGCUUGGCAAGCUAUUACGCCUUUAGUGGAAGAACUGAAUGUCCUGCUCCAGGAAUGGCCAGGCCUGUACUACACUGUGCAUGUCCUCUGUUCAAAGUGCCUUAAAAGAGGGUCACCCAACCCACACACUUUUCCAGGAGAACUGCUGAGUCAGCCGAGACCAGAGGGACUGACGGAGAUCAUCUGUCCCAAGAACGGCAGCGAGCGAGUUAAUGUUGCCUUGGUUUACCCCCCCACUCCUACUGUGAUCAGCCCUUGUUCCAAAUAAACCGUCAAUGCUGGUGCCAAAGGUUUUCCACCGGGCAGAACAUGGCCGAUGCUCUGCAGUGCUCCCAUCUUUCCAGUUGUGGAGUUGAUGCUGACGGGAUCAAUGGGACUUUGGACUUUGGACCCUGAAAGAAAUGCUGUGGGGCAGGGGCAGCUCCCAGGUGGGGGCCUCAUGGCUGGAGUGGAUGAAGUCAUCUGGAGGUUGGGGAUGACAAGGCAUGAAGGAAAAUGAUUGCUGCAGUUGUCAGGGCCGCUGGCCGGAGGGAAAACACUGGGGAUAGGUUUCUGUGGACCCACUGAAUGCGUGUUGAAAACCCAUUUGGAUCUCAUGAUGAAUGUAAAAAUGUUCUUGAUAUACCAUUUAAUUCAGACCUGCUUGGAGGAAAGUCUCUUGAAAUGAGCUGUAGCGGGAUUCCCUGGAUUUGUUCCUGGACAAGGUAUCAUUCCAGCUUGGGAGGAUAGCUUGGGCUCAGAUUUCAUGUGCUGACCUGCUACUUCUGGCAGUGAACCUUACGUCAGUGUGAAUCAUUAAUUGAUUGUGCUUCUCUGCUGCUGUGGAUAAACCGGAGACUCAGAAUCGUCUGUGGUGGCUGGAGAAGGUGAAAGGGAGGAAGAAACUAGCGAUUUGUUGCGGUGAAGUUGCGUGGAAACCACAUUGUAAGGAAACCACAAACUGGAAUCCUUUUCCAGCCGGAGGCCUUUUUCCCAGUGUGCCCAUCUGGUCUGGGAUGCGUGAGCAUUGAAGGAAUGAGAGGACAGAGCAGACUGCAAGAGGACUUACAGCCUGCUCCUUGGGACUGCAGCCCUCCUGCUGGGGUGUGCCACCUCCGUGGGAGCAUUCCCUGGCCUUUGCAGGCACUCAGGCUGCUGCUGUGCACUGAAGCCCUAAUGCCGGGAGUGUGGCAGUAUGGAGAUCAAUUUAGUUGGGUCUAUUUAAUACAAAACGGUGAUUGCUCAUCCACCCACUGUUUAGUAACUGGUGUAACUGUGUUUUCAUCUGAAUUUUUUUAAUAUGCAAAAGCCAUUUACUUUUCUAUGCAGUUCAGAAACAUCUCACCUUUGCAGUUGCCAGGUGGGAGAUCCAUGCAGGAGAACCAAACCAAGCGGCUCAUAGUACUUUGAUUUUGCUGUCGCAGUUUUUAAGAAUGCGCCCUGGGAUCCUCAUACAGCGUCCCUUUGCUGAGCUCCUGCCUCAGACCUCACUUAAUAUCCUUCAGCCCCAGGGUUGAGGGCCCUGUAUUUUUGAAGGAUCUGUCAUUUUUCAUGAAUCAGUCCACAAGGAAAGAGGGCUUGAAUGCAGUGCCCUAACAGCAGAUACCUGAGUUCAGAGUAUGUAUUAUGUUCCAGUUCUUGUCCCUGCUCAGAGAGUUACCAAACUGUUAGAAAUGACUAAGGCCUCUGUGGAGCACUCUGCAGCCUUUACUGAAGAUGUAUUAUAAAGAGGUCAGAAAGGACUGGGGCAUCAGCUUGUCUCCCUGUGGAGCUGACAAUGAAUUUAACUCCUUUGGAAUAGGAGGAGAAUCUCCUGGCAAUCUCCUAGAUGCCUACUUCACCCAAGACGAUUGUACUGGUUUUGCUUAUUGGUUGGCAGACCCCAUGCUUGACUGGUUUUUGAUUUCCUGCUGAAACUGGUUCAGACAGAUUUGGAAACAGAGCUAGCGAGCUGCUUUGCACUCCAGGACUUUCAGCAGCUGGAAGGUGCACUGGAGUACCUUGUGUUACGCUCUGAAGCAAAACCUGGGAUUCAAAACUGCAUCCGUCCAAGCCAAACUCCCAGGACAGCAGCUUUGCCUUCUUCUGGGUCUGUGUAAUGUGAGGAAUUGCAUGUCCCUAAGCAGCACACAACUAGGUAGAGGUGAGAGAGAGUGAGCCCAAAGGGUGAUGCUGCACAUUUAGAUCAUUUUAGGGCUUGGAGGAGUACUUGGAGACUUCUGGCCGCUGCAGAGGGUCCUGGGUGAUGGGACACCUCUGUUUUAACUUUGCUCUAAGCAAAAAGGUCAGAGAAGUAAGAUUGUUUCCAGUCUGCCACAAGGCCAGGGGUCCCUUUGACUAGUCUCCUUUCAUGGCAGUGCUGUUCUUUCUGCAUUGUCUGAGCUCUGAGCUUGGGGGAUUCAGCUUUAGAAAGUUAAACUGAAAUAGAGGCUGGUUUGGGAUUUACCCUGCCUUAUGGUCUCUCAGAUCAGAUGGAAGAGACUGGGGGCUGCAGAAGUAGCUGCAAGGUCAUCUCCCUUGCAGCAUCCCCCAUGCCACAGUUUCAUGGUCGCUGUAAAAACUCAGUAGUGUAUUUGGGUGCUGCUUUCCCAGGAACUCAAGAUGUGCUUGGCUGUGCUGUAGCACUGGGACUUAUGUGGGGUCCCUGUUCUCUUUCCCAUUGUACCUCUGAGGCAGCUAAAGUUUGUCCAAGCAGUUGAGGCUCCUCGUGGUGAGGAGUUAGAUACAGUUGUGUCAAAGGGAACUGCAAAUGUUACUUAGGAACUCACUAAGUGAGAUGAAAAUCCACUGGCUCACUCCUGCAGAGCCAGAUCCCGGAGCUCAGUUCCUCUCGCGCCCUUUGGAUGGGAUCUUGGGCUGGCAUCCUUGGAACAGCUGUGCCGGGAAGUGAAGAUGCUGCACUGCAGUAAGCACAAGAAGAGGCAAGCGAGUGGGCCUCAGUGUAGCACUCAUCACACGCUUCAUGGCUCAGUUCAUGGACUGUAACUGCAGGUAUUCAUAUAAUGUACAUCACUGGGCAGGACUCUGCGCACACACACAUGCAUGCCCAGACAUACACGCACCACACCCACACUUGCCCACACGUCCUCGCCAAAAUGACUGAAAAUAAAAGUGAUCUCAAUCUCCA